UUUUUAUUGGAUGAUGAUUGUCACGUGUCAUAUUCUAAUUAGAUGUCAACUCCAUGAAAAAUGAGAUGCAUUGUUGUUUUCAUUGACCAAUCAGAACAUGACACAUGACAAACAUUAUCC
rfam:Glycine max cultivar Williams 82 chromosome 18, whole genome shotgun sequence.